GCGGCCUAUCAGCUUGUUGGUGAGGUAAUGGCUCACCAAGGCGACGACGGGUAGCCGGCCUGAGAGGGCGACCGGCCACACUGGGACUGAGACACGGCCCAGACUCCUACGGGAGGCAGCAGUGGGGAAUAUUGGGCAAUGGAGGGAACUCUGACCCAGCGACGCCGCGUGCGGGAUGAAGGCCUUCGGGUUGUAAACCGCUUUCAGCAGGGAAGAAGCGAAAGUGACGGUACCUGCAGAAGAAGCACCGGCUAACUAUGUGCCAGCAGCCGCGGUAAUACAUAGGGUGCAAGCGUUGUCCGGAAUUAUUGGGCGUAAAGAGCUCGUAGGUGGUUCGUCACGUCGGAUGUGAAAAUCUGGGGCUUAACCCCAGACCUGCAUUCGAUACGGGCGAGCUAGAGUGUGGUAGGGGAGACUGGAAUUCCU
rnacentral:rRNA from 1 species